UCUCUUUGCAAGAUUGCAUUUCACAUAAGAAUGAAGUUAGGACUUUUUCUUGGCCUUUCUUAAUUUUCUUCUCAAAAAAAUUCAGCAUUCCUUCUCUCUCUUUUCUUUUUGGCAUGUCCCCCACUUUGGGCAUGGAACAAUUCUACGUGAGGUUGGGGUGGGGCGUCCAAUAACUUGGGCAUGCAACAAGAGGGGUGUGAGAUAAGAGGGGGCAAACUCUUUUUCUUGGGCAUGA
rnacentral:lncRNA from 1 species